AUUGAACGCUGGCGGCAGGCCUAACACAUGCAAGUCGAGCGAGAGGCGGACGGGUGAGUAAUGUAUGGGGACUGCCCGCUGGAGGGGGAGAACUCCUGGAAACGGUGGCUAAUACCCCAUACUGUCGGAUACCCCAUAUGGGAUUAGCUAGUAGGUAAGGUAAUGGCUUACCUGGGCGACGAUCCCUAGCUGGUCUGAGAGGAUGAUCAGCCACACUGGGACUGAGACACGGCCCAGACUCCUACGGAGGCAGCAGUGGGGAAUAUUGCACAAUGGGCGCAAGCCUGAUGCAGCCAUGCCGCGUGUAUGAAGAAGGCCCUAGGGUUGUAAAGUACUUUCAGUCGGGAGGCGUUACCGACAGAAGAAGCACCGGCUAACUCCGUGCCAGCAGCCGCGGUAAUUC
rnacentral:rRNA from 1 species